GGCGAGAUGGCCGAGUGGUCUAAGGCGCUAGUUUCAGGAGUUGUUCUUUCGAGAACAUCGCCAGCUUACUAGUCUUCACAGGCGUGGGUUCGAAUCCCACUCUCGUCA
rnacentral:tRNA from 1 species